UACAGAGGGGGCAAGCGUUGUUCGGAAUUACUGGGCGUAAAGGGCGCGUAGGCGGCCGCCUAAGUCAGACGUGAAAUCCCUCGGCUCAACCGGGGAACUGCGUCUGAUACUGGGUGGCUUGAAUCCGGGAGAGGUGAGUGGAAUUCCUAGUGUAGAGGUGAAAUUCGUAGAUAUUAGGAAGAACACCAGUGGCGAAGGCGGCUCACUGGCCCGGUACUGACGCUGAGGCGCGAAAGCGUGGGGAGCAAACAGG
rnacentral:rRNA from 1 species